GACGAACGCUGGCGGCGUGCUUAACACAUGCAAGUCGAGCGGUAAGGCCCUUUCGGGGGUACACGAGCGGCGAACGGGUGAGUAACACGUGGGUGACCUGCCCUCAGCUCUGGGAUAAGCCUGGGAAACUGGGUCUAAUACUGGAUAUGACUCCACGGUGCAUGUCGUGGGGUGGAAAGCCUUGUGCGGCUGAGGAUGGGCCCGCGGCCUAUCAGCUUGUUGGGGGGUGAUGGCCUACCAAGGCGACGACGGGUAGCCGGCCUGAGAGGGCGACCGGCCACACUGGGACUGAGACACGGCCCAGACUCCUACGGGAGGCAGCAGUGGGGAAUCUUGCGCAAUGGGCGAAAGCCUGACGCAGCGACGCCGCGUGAGGGAUGACGGCCUGGUU
rnacentral:rRNA from 1 species